rnacentral:lncRNA from 1 species
GAAAUGGUGAGCUGCAAGUACGGGGGCUCUUCCAGCCAUCAUAAUGUCCCUUUUGAAUACAAACAAUGCCACCUAUUACACAGAUGGCUCCACACUGGAAGGGAAUUAUCAAGCAAUCUGAGCAUGUUACAUUACAACAGUGGAAACGUGAAAGAGUUUCCGUCAGCUCGAGCUUGCAGAAAAAUCCACUUUCAUCACGAACAGCAAGAUGGCAACAGAUGUGGAUUGGUGACCACAAAGAACAAGCACACCUCUACCAGCCCCAGUGGAGAUGCAGGUGGGGAUGUCACCCGCCCGCCAUGCGUCCUGCAGUGCCAGCCAGCUGUGCUGCAGGUGCCAGCAUACCCAGCUUAUGCUACAAGGGUAUGA